rnacentral:rRNA from 1 species
GACGAACGCUGGCGGCGUGCUUAACACAUGCAAGUCGAACGGAAAGGCCCUGCUUUUGUGGGGUGCUCGAGUGGCGAACGGGUGAGUAACACGUGAGUAACCUGCCCUUGACUUUGGGAUAACUUCAGGAAACUGGGGCUAAUACCGGAUAGGAGCUCCUGCUGCAUGGUGGGGGUUGGAAAGUUUCGGCGGUUGGGGAUGGACUCGCGGCUUAUCAGCUUGUUGGUGGGGUAGUGGCUUACCCAGGCUUUGACGGGUAGCCGGCCUGAGAGGGUGACCGGCCACAUUGGGCCUGAGAUACGGCCCAGACUCGUACGGGAGGCAGCAGUGGGGAAUAUUGCACAAUGGGCGGAAGCCUGAUGCAGCAACGCCGCGUGCGGGAUGACGGCCUUCGGGUUGUAAACCGCUUUCGCCUGUGACGAAGCGUGAGUGACGGUAAUGGGUAAAGAAGCACCGGCUAACUACGUG